rnacentral:rRNA from 1 species
GAUGCAGCCAUGCCGCGUGUGUGAAGAAGGCCUUCGGGUUGUAAAGCACUUUCAGUCAGGAGGAAAGGUUAGUAGUUAAUACCUGCUAGCUGUGACGUUACUGACAGAAGAAGCACCGGCUAACUCCGUGCCAGCAGCCGCGGUAAUACGGAGGGUGCGAGCGUUAAUCGGAAUUACUGGGCGUAAAGCGUACGCAGGCGGUUUGUUAAGCGAGAUGUGAAAGCCCCGGGCUCAACCUGGGAACUGCAUUUCGAACUGGCAAACUAGAGUGUGAUAGAGGGUGGUAGAAUUUCAGGUGUAGCGGUGAAAUGCGUAGAGAUCUGAAGGAAUACCGAUGGCGAAGGCAGCCACCUGGGUCAACACUGACGCUCAUGUACGAAAGCGUGGGGAGCAAACGGGAUUAGAUACCCCGGUAGUCCACGCCGUAAACGAUGUCUACUAGAAGCUCGGAGCCUCGGUUCUGUUUUUCAAAGCUAACGCAUUAAGUAGACCGCCUGGGGAGUACGGCCGCAAGGUUAAAACUCAAAUGAAUUGACGGGGGCCCGCACAAGCGGUGGAGCAUGUGGUUUAAUUCGAUGCAACGCGAAGAACCUUACCUACACUUGACAUACAGAGAACUUACCAGAGAUGGUUUGGUGCCUUCGGGAACUCUGAUACAGGUGCUGCAUGGCUGUCGUCAGCUCGUGUUGUGAGAUGUUGGGUUAAGUCCCGCAACGAGCGCAACCC